CAAGAUUAUCAGAGGCUUUGCGAGGCCUCGGCGGCGGCGGCCGUAACGGCAGCGUAAGCGACGCAAACAAAGCAAGAUGGCCGACCGGGGGCGCGUGCUCGUCAUCCAGAGCGACUGGCAGGACACUCUCAGGAAUAAUGACAGUUCUGCGUGGAUCUUCCUCAAAGGCCUUGGAGAGAAGGGAGACUAUGGCAAAAUUGGAGGCUCGGCAUCCGAUGACAUUUUCCAGGUUCACUCCCGCACGGAGCGGACGAUUGCCUUGUCACACCAUCCAUCGGGAAUGUCCACCACGUUCAUAGCGCCAGUUGCUACCUUUAGCCGCAUCCAUGCCAAAAGUGUACGAAAGAAGUUUUUCUCCUCAACUUGAUAAUUGUGAGGAAAAAAUAUAGGUGAUGGCAAGUUGUGAUCUUAAUGCUCAGAGAACAGACCACAUGUUUGGGAAUUAGUGAAUGCUGCCAUGAGGAAACUGCUUGAAGGUCAUCUCUUUGACGUAUACACCUGCCGCCUCUUCCCCUCGGGCAUUGUGGUGCUGUCGGGGGGAGGGGACAUGCAGCUCAGGAUAUGGGAUGCAGCCAGCGGGCAGUGUCCGGUUGUUCUGAAGGGCCACACGGGAGCUGUUCUGGACACAGCCUUUGUUGAUCGAGGGAAGAACAUAAUCUCUGUCAGCAAGUGAGUGACUUCCCAUUGAGAUAUGUGUUAUGAAGAACCAGCUAAGUUUUAGUGGUGGUAGUGGUGUUUUCAUUUUAUAACCAGAAUAAGAUUAUAGAUGUCCUAUUCUACAGAUAUUUUAUGAUUCUGUAAAUUUCAUGUCACUGCAAUUACAUAGAACCUAUUUAAAGUACAAACUGUUUGAGUGUUGGGUUUUUAGGUCAGUCUAUAACAGCCAUAUUUAAGAAUUUCUCUUAGUCUGUAGUUACUCUUCUUUACUUUCUUUUUUUGCACCCAUAGAAAAUUUUACAAUGAUUAGUAAACUAGUUUAAUUUGGCCUGAUGCCAUUCUAGAAUUAGUUGA
rnacentral:lncRNA from 1 species